UACAGAGGUCUCAAGCGUUGUUCGGAUUCAUUGGGCGUAAAGGGUGCGUAGGUGGCGCCGUAAGUCAGGUGUGAAAUUUCGGAGCUUAACUCCGAAACUGCAUUUGAUACUGCGGUGCUUGAGGACUGGAGAGGAGACUGGAAUUUACGGUGUAGCAGUGAAAUGCGUAGAGAUCGUAAGGAAGACCAGUGGCGAAGGCGGGUCUCUGGGUCGUACCUGACGCUGAGGCGCGAAAGCGUGGGGAGCGAACGGG
rnacentral:rRNA from 1 species